rnacentral:rRNA from 1 species
AUCUACGGCCAUAGGACUGAGAAAAUACCGCAUCCCGUCCGAUCUGCGAAGUCAAGCUCAGUACCGCUCGGUUAGUACCAUGGUGGGGGACCACAUGGGAAUCCCGGGUGUCGUAGUUUUUC